UACGUAGGGUGCAAGCGUUGUCCGGAAUUAUUGGGCGUAAAGAGCUCGUAGGCGGUUUGUUGCGUCGGCUGUGAAAUCCCGAGGCUCAACCUCGGGUCUGCAGUCGAUACGAGCAAACUAGAGUGUUGCAGGGGAGACUGGAAUUCCUGGUGUAGCGGUGAAAUGCGCAGAUAUCAGGAGGAACACCGGUGGCGAAGGCGGAUCUCUGGGCCUUACCUGACGCUCAGGUGCGAAAGCUAGGGGAGCGAACAGG
rnacentral:rRNA from 1 species